rnacentral:rRNA from 1 species
UACGGAGGGUGCGAGCGUUUAUCGGAAUUACUGGGCGUAAAGCGUGCGUAGGCGGAUGCUUGAGUCGGAUGUGAAAGCCCUGGGCUCAACCUGGGAAUGGCAUUCGAUACUGGGCAUCUAGAGUGUGGUAGAGGGGGGUAGAAUUCCUGGUGUAGCGGUGAAAUGCGUAGAUAUCAGGAGGAAUACCGGUGGCGAAGGCGACCCCCUGGACCAACACUGACGCUGAGGUACGAAAGCGUGGGUAGCAAACAGG